rnacentral:rRNA from 1 species
AGAGUUUGAUCCUGGCUCAGAGCGAACGCUGGCGGCAGGCUUAACACAUGCAAGUCGAGCGGGCGUAGCAAUACGUCAGCGGCAGACGGGUGAGUAACGCGUGGGAACAUACCUUUUGGUUCGGAACAACACAGGGAAACUUGUGCUAAUACCGGAUAAGCCCUUACGGGGAAAGAUUUGUCGCCGAAAGAUCGGCCCGCGUCUGAUUAGCUAGUUGGUGAGGUAACGGCUCACCAAGGCGACGAUCAGUAGCUGGUCUGAGAGGAUGAUCAGCCACAUUGGGACUGAGACACGGCCCAAACUCCUACGGGAGGCAGCAGUGGGGAAUAUUGGACAAUGGGCGCAAGCCUGAUCCAGCCAUGCCGCGUGAGUGAUGAAGGCCCUAGGGUUGUAAAGCUCUUUUGUGCGGGAAGAUAAUGACGGUACCGCAAGAAUAAGCCCCGGCUAACUUCGUGCCAGCAGCCGCGGUAAUACGAAGGGGGCUAGCGUUGCUCGGAAUCACUGGGCGUAAAGGGUGCGUAGGCGGGUCUUUAAGUCAGGGGUGAAAUCCUGGAGCUCAACUCCAGAACUGCCUUUGAUACUGAAGAUCUUGAGUUCGGGAGAGGUGAGUGGAACUGCGAGUGUAGAGGUGAAAUUCGUAGAUAUUCGCAAGAACACCAGUGGCGAAGGCGGCUCACUGGCCCGAUACUGACGCUGAGGCACGAAAGCGUGGGGAGCAAACAGGAUUAGAUACCCUGGUAGUCC